UUGUAUAGAGGGUUAACUCAGUUCUGCCGGAUGCUUUCCCGCAGCCCGAAGUUGGUCACGGUGUACGUUCGUAGUCUAAGGUUUUAUUGAUCACGCUGUGGGUGGCAUCAGUAGAACAAAUCGACCGUAUGUUCUAGAAUGUGGCUGUUUUCGGCGAACGCUUGGCGCUCUUUUGUGAUUCUGUUUUGCGUGGUAACUCACUGCCGUGGCGGUGUUAUCCCAGCCGUCAUUGCCGGCGGUGUAGCUGCUCCAGCUGCGCUUAUGCUAUUUAAAGCAUUGGCUAACGCUGGAAAGGGGUCGAGUAGCUCGACAACGACAACAACAACGACGACAACAACAGCCUCAACGACUGUUGUUCCACCUCUUCUGAGCAACGAUUAUCGCUAUGGACAGGGUCAUUACUACAAGACAAACCGUGCAAGACAGCUCAGUGACUUCGAUGAUCGCAAAUUUACUCGUUAUGACAGCAACGGUCGUCGACGUAAAGGACGCCGUAAGGACAGCAGAAACAGCGUAAAGAUUGAAAGACAACACAGAAAACAACAAUCUUUAUCAUCACCAACUGUCUACAAUUCGUUUAUUAUCAACAACAACAAUAACUUAAGCAAUGUGGGAAACACCAGAGCGAUAACCAAAAACAACAUCAACCUCAGCAGCAUCGAAAACACCAAAUCCGUAUCGCGGGUGGCUAACAACGUCAUAGCCAAUCUACAGUUCGUCACCAAAAAUAUGCAGCCUCCUUCAUUUCGCCUGAUGGACCUAGAACCUUCACGCGCCGUAGCAACCACAGUUACCGUUAACGGAGAUGCGUUAAUGCAAGGCAGCAGUUAUGUUAUACUAAGUGACAGGGCCUUCCUUAUUCAGCAUCUGGAUGUCCACAUGCCUCCCCAAUACAAGUAUCCUUCAACUGACAUCACGGUGGAGAUAACUGUCACAGAUCGACCACAGCCAAGUCACAAACAGGAUCAAAGGAUUACGGUACUCUUCAAUGGAGAAGACAUUCGCAAUGAAUUUGCGCUUGUUUUGCAAAACAAAUUGAUUCCACCAGGAACAGUAUCCAUCAGAGUGAAUGGUCAGACCGUGUUGGGUGACAUUUCCUUAGAUGCGAUUACGUUUCCGUCCAGUGAUAGAGUAGGCACGGAGUUCCCCCCCACCGGAACUGCUAUAUUUCAAAUGAAUGGAGGGCCGAUUGAACCUUACACGUUCAGCGUCGAAAUUCGAGAAAAUGCGGCGCCCGUGGAGGGCAUCACAGUAACAGAUAUCCGUGGUCGCCCGCUUGCCGGAAUGGUCGAUAUUGAAGUGGUUGAAGAUAACAGAAAGACUCCACAUGCCAUUACUCUUGUUAACGGGAAGGAUUCCAGGGCCACAUACAACAUUCUAAUUAAAGGCAAGCAAGUAUCUGCAGACGACCUGAUAUUUAAGGUCAACGGUGAACCGCAGAUGGUUAUUGUAGAUUUUGCCGUUUCUGAAGAAGUCAUCUCUAAACUUGAGAAGAGCUCUUGCCGAGCAGCCGUUGUACCGUCAAAAAUAGGUGGACUGUCACCUAAAGGCUUAAUAUCAUAUUAGUUUUUAGCUGAUCGAAUUGUAACUGCUACUAUUUUAAUUACCGUGAAUUUUAUUCUACUGGAGGAAACGAGCUACGGAAGCAAGCGACAAAGCGCUUUCUCAUCGAGAUCCCAUCGGGGCAUCGAUGACAUCCCGAUCCCAACGAAGGCCUCGGUCGUGAAACAGCUUUUCAUGGAAGUUCAGAGUCCACAAGCUUCCACAUUCGGAUCUAGAUGGUCGCACCAAACAAACUAAAGAGCGUCAUGCCAGCAACAUAUCGUUGGUGGGGACAUUGCUGAGAGAAAAACUCAGCAUUACGAUGUGGCCGACACCUAUUCCGAUACUUCAUAUCAUAUACCUAUACUCCUAUUUUCUUUCCAUAUUCAUUAAAUUAGGAACAAUCGUCGAAUAUUUAGUAUUUUUUUUUUAGUAAAGCUUUUUUUUGUUUUACCCAAUCCAAGUAAU